rnacentral:rRNA from 1 species
UAUUACCGCGGCUGCUGGCACGGAGUUAGCCGGAGCUUAUUCUCCCGGUACUGUCAUUAUCAUCCCGGGUAAAAGAGCUUUACAACCCUAAGGCCUUCAUCACUCACGCGGCAUUGCUGGAUCAGGCUUUCGCCCAUUGUCCAAUAUUCCCCACUGCUGCCUCCCGUAGGAAUCUC